UCAACUGAGAGUUUGAUCCUGGCUCAGGACGAACGCUGGCGGCGUGCUUAACACAUGCAAGUCGGACGGGGUAUUUCGGUCAGCUUGCUGAUCGGGAUUACCCAGUGGCGCACGGGUGAGUAACACGUAGGUAACCUGCCCCCGGGACGGGGACAACCCUUCGAAAGGAGGGCUAAUACCGGAUAAGACCACAUAUCGGAAGAUAUGAGGGAAAAGGCUUCGAUGAAAGUCGAGGCGCCUGGGGAUGGGCCUGCGGCCUAUCAGGUAGUUGGCGGGGUAAAUGCCCAC
rnacentral:rRNA from 1 species